CCAGCCGCCUACACGCCCCAGCAGCCUGUGCGCUUCCGCCUCCCUUGUGAUGGGCAGGAACCAGCUCCAAGGCUGCUGGGGCCUGUAGUCUGGGGAGCAGACGGGCGCCUAGCAUUAGAGAGGACUGAAGACGCCUGGCCCGGCCCAACAUCAGGCAUCCCAAUCCCCAGCCUGCCCUCCACAACUCCUUCAGCAGGCAGAGCAGCAUCUCAGGCCUAGCACUAGGCUUUGCAAGGCCCCAUGCAGCCAGCUCUCUCUCCAUCUAAGUUAUAGAAAAUAUCUAUGCAGCAAAUGGAGGAGCAUCCCUCAGCUGGAAAGUGAUAUAAUACUUGCCAAGCAAGCUGUUAUUGAAGGAGAGAAGGUGACAGCUUCAUUCUCUUCCUCUGUGUGCUGUCCAUGCUGCUUCUGCUAUUGCGCCUUCUGUUGCCACUAUACUGGCUCUGCUUUAUUCCCCGGGACAUUGAAAACAGUACAGUAAUUACCUCUAUUUGUUGCACUUCGGGCAGAGUUUACAACCAGGAUUUAUUCUGGCCUGAACCUUGACCUCUAUAAAAAAAAAAGUGGACCCAGACUGUGCUCAUCUCUCUCUUGGCUGAAGUGGCAGUAAGAAAACAUUUUCUCUAUGCUCCGAGUCGUACAACACUUUGUGGUCUCUCUCUUAAAUAUAAUGAAUGAACAUUGUCACCUAAUGAAGUCAUCUCAAAGAUUUAAUUUCCUAUUAAAACUAAUGGUGUUAAAAAAAAUUUAAAAAA